rnacentral:rRNA from 1 species
GACGAACGCUGGCGGCGUGCUUAACACAUGCAAGUCGAACGGAAAGGCCCUGCUUUUGUGGGGUGCUCGAGUGGCGAACGGGUGAGUAACACGUGAGUAACCUGCCCUUGACUUUGGGAUAACUUCAGGAAACUGGGGCUAAUACCGGAUAGGAGCUCCUGCUGCAUGGUGGGGGUUGGAAAGUUUCGGCGGUUGGGGAUGGACUCGCGGCUUAUCAGCUUGUUGGUGGGGUAGUGGCUUACCAAGGCUUUGACGGGUAGCCGGCCUGAGAGGGUGACCGGCCACAUAGGGACUGAGAUACGGCCCAGACUCCUUCGGGAGGCAGAAGUGGGGGAUAUUGCACAAUGGGCGGAAGCCUGAUGCAGCAACGCCGCGUGCGGGAUGACGGCCUUCGGGUUGUAAACCGCUUUCGCCUGUGACGAAGCGUGAGUGACGGUAAUGGGUAAAGAAGCACCGGCUAACUACGUG